UACGUGGGGUGCGAGCGUUAAUCGGAAUUACUGGGCGUAAAGCGUGCGCAGGCGGCGCGUUAAGACAGGUGUGAAAGCCCCGAGCUUAACUUGGGAAUUGCGCUUGUGACUGGCGUGCUGGAGUGUGGCAGAGGGAGGUGGAAUUCCACGUGUAGCAGUGAAAUGCGUAGAGAUGUGGAGGAACACCGAUGGCGAAGGCAGCCUCCUGGGCCAGCACUGACGCCCAUGCACGAAAGCGUGGGGAGCAAACAGG
rnacentral:rRNA from 1 species